AUGAUGAUGAGGAGGAGGAAGAUGAAGUCAGGAGUGUUGUCAGAGCAUGAUUGUCUCACUGGGAACUCAUCAUAAAACAUUAGCACAAUUAAUCAAAUUCAUUAGCUGAGUGAGUGAAAGAGAGAUGUAUAAUUCUAAUUCAGUAAGAAUGUCCUGAGAUUUGGGAGCAUUAGGCUAAAUAGUAAAAUUUAAUGCAGGAAUUAAUCUCUGCACUCCCUGCCAGUGUUUAAUAUUUCUUUUGUUAAGUCUAUAUAAUUGAGCACAAAGGGAACACAAUCUGGACUUUCAUUCUCCAAACCAACCAAAAAAGGCGAUAAUCUAACAAUCCCUCACCCAACCUGAUUUGGCGCUCUUCAGAACAAGUCACCUCGUUCGAAAUGGGAGGCGCUCGGCUAACUAACGGUUGCAAUCCGGAACUUAAAACAGUCAGAAGAGGGCAAAGUUCAAAUUGCUUGUGCCGGACUACUUGGAAUUCGCCCACCCGCUGUAAGUUGGGAAAGGCACGAGAUCGCUUAAAGAGGUGGAAACUGCAAAUUCGCUUGCGAAACACUUGCAAGGCGGCCUUCGUUUUUCCACGUGUAUUGUCUAUACUUUCAAGACCCGGGGUGGGGUUUGGUUUAUGUCACACGUCUGCAGAUCUCCUGAAAGAUGUUGGGGAACCGAUUAAAAUUAUUUAAUAAUUCUUGCCCCAAGUCCCAUCAGAUUUUCGAGAAGCGUAGAGGAACAGCAAAAAAGACUACAGCGGAAUUAUGUGAUCAUGAAAGGCCACUAUGCUACUAUUGUACUACCGUAGUUUCUAGGAAAGCAGCUGGAUCCUAAUCAUGCUCUCUUAAAAAACCAGCAAAUCAUCCACCGGAUUAUGUUGUGCCGUGUUUCUUUCCAUCAAGGUUUUACACUCGUUUUGCAAUGUGUUCUGAUUUUUAAAAUUGCGAAGCGAUUCAAACAGGAUCGCUGAUAGAUUAAUCCAUUUUCUCAAGAGGGGCAGAAUGUCAUAUGCCACCUCAAUACUCCACUACUACACUUCAAGAACUUCUUUCGAGGCCAGCCUGACAUAGACUCUGAGGGUCAGAUGGCAGGGGUGAAAGUUCAUUGUUCCUUUCUAAGUGCAGUCUCAAGGUCAACUGUUUCAGAACAAAGUGCAGCUACAUUCUUCAGGAGGCCACUCUAAAAGCAUCUCAUUUAAAUUUGAUUAGACAUAAGGAGACUAACUAUGGGAAGCACUUUUGGGAGGGAAAAGUUACACUUGGGAUUUCGGUGCGUGAAUUUCAGUUCCAGCGUUGCACUACUGUAUUUCACUUGGCUUCUAGUACACUAUAUGUUUCUCAACCUAAUGGUGUUAAGGAUCAUUUUUACAAAGCAGGUCUUCUUGUUCUUUCUGAAAAUUUGCUUCAGAUUGGGUAGUUGUCUGUAUGUAAUUAGGGAACUAUCACCCAGUGACUGAUAAAAUGCAUUGGCAUUCAGUAUCAAUUAAUCUAUCAAAUUGCAUCAUGAUUUCAACAACUUUCAUUUCACCAUCAACCUCAGCCUAGAUCUACUGUAUCUACACUUCCUUUGUGUCAUCAAAAAACUACACAAUAAACACAAAUACCUUUAGAGAUUACCUCAAUAGGCAGCUUGGAUGAUAGAAUGUGGCUGAAAUAGGCAGCCCAUCUGCCCACACCUAUAGACAGCUCUCACCAUUUGAAGAGGAUAUGAGCAGUAGAGCAAGAGAGCAAUAAUAAGCAAGAGAGCAAGUCAAUGUAAGAGAUGGAUAAGUGAAGUCGAUGUAGUGUGUUUUUUUGACAGUGGCUACAUGGUGCUAGGUGGAUAUAAGAUAAAAAA